AUUGAACGCUGGCGGCAUGCCUUACACAUGCAAGUCGAACGGUAACGCGGGGCAACCUGGCGACGAGUGGCGAACGGGUGAGUAAUACAUCGGAACGUGCCCAGUAGUGGGGGAUAGCCCGGCGAAAGCCGGAUUAAUACCGCAUACGACCUACGGGUGAAAGCGGGGGAUCGCAAGACCUCGCGCUAUUGGAGCGGCCGAUGUCAGAUUAGCUAGUUGGUGGGUAAAAGCCUACCAAGGCGACGAUCUGUAGCUGGUCUGAGAGGACGACCAGCCACACUGGGACUGAGACACGGCCCAGACUCCUACGGGAGGCAGCAGUGGGGAAUUUUGGACAAUGGGGGCAACCCUGAUCCAGCCAUGCCGCGUGCGGGAAGAAGGCCU
rnacentral:rRNA from 1 species